AAACGUCUUUUGUCAGGGAAGAAGAUUUUACGGGACCUGAUGAAUCAGCAUCGGCUAACUCCGUGCCAGCAGCCGCGGUAAGACGGAGGAUGCAAGCGUUAUCCGGAAUUAUUGGGCGUAAAGCGUCCGCAGGUGGCCUGUUAAGUCUGCUGUUAAAGCCCAGGGCUUAACUCUGGAUCAGCGGUGGAAACUGGCAGGCUAGAGUACGGUAGGGGUAGAGGGAAUUCCUGGUGUAGCGGUGAAAUGCGUAGAUAUCAGGAAGAACACCGGUGGCGAAAGCGCUCUACUGGGCCGUAACUGAC
rnacentral:rRNA from 1 species